GGAGAGGUCGCCUAGAGGCCUAGGGCGCUCGCCUGGAAAGCGGGUAGGGGUGCAAGCUCCUCGUGGGUUCGAAUCCCACCCUCUCCG
rnacentral:tRNA from 1 species